CGGUAGCUGGUGGGGGGACAGGAGAGGGGAUUAACCAAGGGGGCAAAAUAUUCUGCAGUCAAAGGGAGCGAGGAGCGAAAGCAACAGCCCCUUUAAGGCUAAAAAAAAAGUACAGUGGAUGCACGUUCGCAACCCACAGCGUUCGCAACCCGCAGCAGCACGUCUGUGCGGGUUGUGAUUUGGCGCUUCUGCACAUGCGCAAAGCGCGAUUUAGCGCUUCUGCGCAUGCGCGGCUGCCGAAACCCGGGAGUAACCCGUUCUGGUACUUCUGGAUUUCGGCGGGUCCGUAAUCUGAAAAAACGCAACCUGAAGCGGCUGUAACCUGAGAUAUGCGACCGUAGCCAGUUCGUAGAUGAUGGACUGAGCGCCCAAUUCGACCACGCUGAUCAUGCCUUGGGGAGGACAGAGGAAGAAAAGGAGACACGGAGGAAUUAUGGAGGAGAACUGAAAGCAGGUCAGGACAUUAAUAGGCAAGAUGUCAAACUGUUUUUAUAUGCAACAACAGCGGCAAGAGUAUUGUUAGCCCAGAAAUGGAAGCAAGAAGAAAUUCCGACGAAAGAAGAACGGCAGACGAAAUUAAUGGACUAUGCAGAGUUGGACAAAAUGACAGGAAGGAUUCGAAACCUGCGGGACCAGAGAUUUACAGAAGAUUGGAAGAAAUAUACGAAUUAUUUGAAGAGCAACUGUAAUCAACAAAUUACGCUAGUAGGACCACAAGAAGUUUUGUAAGGAGAAAUAUACGAAGUGUUACAAAGUAGAAAAAGAUAGAGAUAUUGGUUAUGAGUUUGAAAUGUAAUAAGGAAGAUAAGAAAUGCAUACUGAGAGAUUAGAUUGGAAAAUUUUCAGACAGGACUGAUGGAAGUAAAAGAAAACUUGAA